rnacentral:rRNA from 1 species
GAUGAACGCUGGCGGCGUGCGUUAACACAUGCAAGUCGAGCGAGAAGACUUUGACGGAUCCUUCGGGUGAUGGAAGAGUUGGAAAGCGGCGGACGGGUGAGUAACGCGUGGGCAACCUGCCCCAUACAGAGGGAUAGCCACUGGAAACGGUGAUUAAUACCUCAUAAGACCACAGAAGCACAUGCUUCACGGGGGUAAAAACUCCCGGUGGUAUGGGAUGGGGCCCGCGUCUGAUUAGCUAGUUGGUAAGGUAACGGCUUACCAAGGCGACGAUCAGUAGCCGACCUGAGAGGGUGAUCGGCCACACUGGAACUGAGACACGGUCCAGACUCCUACGGGAGGCAGCAGUGGGGAAUAUUGCACAAUGGGCGAAAGCCUGAUGCAGCAACGCCGCGUGAACGAUGAAGGCCUUCGGGUUGUAAAGUUCUUUUCUUAGAGAAGAAUCCAUGACGGUAUCUAAGGAAUAAGCCCCGGCUAACUACGUG